CCUACGGGGGGCUGCAGUGAGGAAUAUUGGUCAAUGGGCGAAAGCCUGAACCAGCCAAGUAGCGUGAGGGAAGACUGCCCUAUGGGUUGUAAACCUCUUUUGUCAGGGAGCAACGCCGGCUACGUGUAGCCGGACUGAGAGUACCUGAAGAAAAAGCAACGGAUAACUCCGUGCAAGCAGCCGCGGUAAUACGGAGGAUGCGAGCGUUAUCCGGAUUUAUUGGGUGUAAAGGGUGCGUAGGCGGAAUGCCAAGUCAGCGGUAAAAUCGCGGGGCUCAACCUCGCUCCGCCGUUGAUACUGGCGUUCUUGAGUGGGCGAGAGGUAUGCGGAAUGCGUGGUGUAGCGGUGAAAUGCAUAGAUAUCACGCAGAACUCCGAUUGCGAAGGCAGCAUACCGGCGCCCAACUGACGCUGAAGCACGAAAGCGUGGGUAUCGAACAGGAUUAGAUACCCUUGUAGUC
rnacentral:rRNA from 1 species